rnacentral:rRNA from 1 species
UACGUAGGGCGCAAGCGUUGUCCGGAAUUAUUGGGCGUAAAGAGCUCGUAGGCGGCUUGUCACGUCGGAUGUGAAAGCCCGGGGCUUAACCCCGGGUCUGCAUUCGAUACGGGCUAGCUAGAGUGUGGUAGGGGAGAUCGGAAUUCCUGGUGUAGCGGUGAAAUGCGCAGAUAUCAGGAGGAACACCGGUGGCGAAGGCGGCAUCCUGGACCAAUUCUGACGCUGAGGAGCGAAAGCCAGGGGAGCAAACGGG